AUGUCAGGUGCAGCGAGAGCGAUUGCUCGGGAUGACAGAGGAGAGUUCAUCACAGCGGCAGCGUGGUUCCUACCACAUGUGACCACUGCUGAAUCUGCGGAAAUACAAGCCAUCAGAAACGGGGCUUGGUUGGCGAAACACAUUGGAUGCAACUCGCUCAUUUUAGAGUCAGACAAUCUAAGUGCUAUACAGGCCUUCAACCAACAGGAAACAUACAAUGGUACUGAUGCAGCAGUGGUGUUGGAAGGCAAGCAGAUAUGCAUCAAUUUUGCAGCAGUAUCAUACAUCCAUUGCUUUAGGGGAGCGAAUGAGGUUGCUGAUCUUUUAGCAAAGCAUUCUACCCAUAGUAGAUCUUCUCAUCUUUGGGAAGAUUCUAUCCCCGACUUUAUUUCUCAUGCUUUUGUAAACGACUUGUCCAUCAUCUGA
rnacentral:rRNA from 1 species